GGACGUGCGCUCCGCGCGCUCGCUCACUUUCUGGCUGGAUCUCGUAGAGAGCAGACGUGUGUUCUCCGCGGUCGCUCAGUUUCUGCCUGGAAGUUGCCGCGGGGGAAAAGGUGAGUGAGUGAUUUGACGCGCUCCUUUUCUCGUAUGUUUGCCGUGUUUAGCGGUGACCGCGCUCGUGCUAAGCCUUUUCUCGCAUAUUUAGCGAUGUGUGGUUCCCGCCUUGUGUUAGCUGCGUAGUGUUGAGGUUAGGCCUAAGCGAUCGCCCCCCCCCCCCCGUAAGCCUUUUCUCGCAUGUUUAGACUUGUUUUGCGGUGAGCAAGCCUGUUGACGCAUGUUUAGCGAUGUGUGGUUCCCGCCUUGUGUUAGCUGCGUAGUGUUGUGGUUAGGCCUAAGCGAUCGUCCCCGUAAGCCUUUUUCCCCGAUGUGUACUGUUUUCUGUUUAGCAGUAGCGAUUAGACCUUUUCUCUCGCAUGCCUAGACUUGUUUAGCAGUGCUGCCAUUUUUACCUGCCGCUAGUAUCUUGUUCUGUCUUUCUCGUCUAGAGCUAUGACGGUGGCGGCAUCUGGUGUGAUGCCUUGCAACUACGUGGCCACCUGUCGUCGAUCUCUGCAACUGCUGGGUGCAAACUACCAACAUGGCGGGCGCUGGUCACUCGGGUGUUGCGGAGCGGCUUCUUCGCCGCGGCAUCGUUGAUUUUCGAAUAAAUUGUUUCUCUCCA